UACGUAGGCUCCAAGCGUUGUUCGGAAUUACUGGGCGUAAAGCGAGUGUAGGCGGUCUGUCAAGUCGGCUGUGAAAUCUCCUGGCUCAACUGGGAGGGUGCGGCCGAAACUGACAGACUAGAGUCUGGGAGAGGAGAGUGGAAUUCCUGGUGUAGCGGUGAAAUGCGUAGAUAUCAGGAGGAACACCGGUGGUGAAGACGGCUCUCUGGACCGGUACUGACGCUGAGACUCGAAAGCGUGGGGAGCAAAC
rnacentral:rRNA from 1 species